rnacentral:rRNA from 1 species
GUCCUUGUCGUAAACGAUGUAUACUUGAUGUAGUUAGGCUCAACCCUGACUGUGUCGUAGCUAACGCGAUAAGUAUACCGCCUGAGGAGUACGCUCGCAAGGGUGAAACUCAAAAGAAUUGACGGGGGCCCGCACAAGCAGUGGAGCAUGUGGUUUAAUUCGAUGCAACGCGAAGAACCUUACCUGGGCUCGAAAUGCAGAGGGCGAUACCAGAAAUGGUAUUUUCCGUAAGGACUUCUGUAUAGGUGCUGCAUGGCUGUCGU